AUUUAAAUAAUUUAAUUUAAAAUAUUGAUUUGUGGAAUCAAAAAUGUUUUUUAAACUUUAAAUU
rnacentral:tRNA from 1 species